AGCGGCGGACGGGAGAGUAACACGUAAAGAACCUGCCCAUAGGUCUGGGAUAACCACGAGAAAUCGGGGCUAAUACCGGAUGUGUCAUCGGACCGCAUGGUCCGCUGAUGAAAGGCGCUCCGGCGUCGCCCAUGGAUGGCUUUGCGGUGCAUUAGCUAGUUGGUGGGGUAACGGCCCACCAAGGCGACGAUGCAUAGCCGACCUGAGAGGGUGAUCGGCCACACUGGGACUGAGACACGGCCCAGACUCCUACGGGAGGCAGCAGUAGGGAAUCUUCCACAAUGGACGAAAGUCUGAUGGAGCAACGCCGCGUGAACGAUGAAGGCUUUCGGGUCGUAAAGUUCUGUUGUAAGGGAAGAACAAGUGCCGCAGGCAACGGCAGCACCUUGACGGUACCUUGCGAGAAAGCCACGGCUAACUACGUGCCAGCAGCCGCGGUAAUACGUAGGUGGCAAGCGUUGUCCGGAAUUAUUGGGCGUAAAGCGCGCGCAGGCGGCCUCUUAAGUCUGAUGUGAAAGCCCCCGGCUCAACCGGGGAGGGCCAUUGGAAACUGGGAGGCUUGAGUAUAGGAGAGAAGAGUGGAAUUCCACGUGUAGCGGUGAAAUGCGUAGAGAUGUGGAGGAACACCAGUGGCGAAGGCGACUCUUUGGCCUAUAACUGACGCUGAGGCGCGAAAGCGUGGGGAGCAAACAGGAUUAGA
rnacentral:rRNA from 1 species